CACAGCGGCGCCACCACCGCCUAAGCCGCCGCGGUGAAAAUCCUCACGCGCCACGCGCCAGCAUGCGGCGAAGCCAGAGCAAGCAAGCAGGCAGGAGGUGGCCGUGGGGGAUAGAGGUGAAGUUUCAAAUGUUUCACAGCGCCGUCGUCAUCCUCUCGUGUUCCUCUGCUUCCCGCCAGUGCCGCCCGCCUCACCUCGCCGCCGAUUCCGCCCCCGUCGAGCAACCACCGACCGAUUCCUCCCGCACACCGCGCCAUGACAACCUCCUGAGCAACCCCGACAGCUUCCCGUCCGACGAAAUCAACUCAAGCGCCGCCGACCUAUCCCUGUUCCGCCGCCCGCCAUCAACACCCCCACGAUUCGGAGCCGCUGGAGGUGGAGUACAUGGAGAUCCCGUCUGAGCUAGCUCAGGAAGGCGAGGACGUGAUCAUGGUGGAGCAUAGUCUCGAGGCUGCCCCAGAUCUCGUCGUCGAGACCCCUCACCCCGAGGAGCAGCAAGGCAAGCCCCGAUAUAUUAAUCUUAUUUAACCUUGCUAAUUUGAGCCCAAACUGUUGUAUUUCAUGAUUGUGCAUUAAGUCUAGGAGUUGAGUAGAGUCCUUUUAUGCAUUCCUCCCUUCCUUGUUUGAAGGACAUCUUUGCCACCUGUUCAAAAAGAUUAGAAGGUUAAGUCUAAUCUGGUAGUGCCGCAGAAGUCAAGUAAUUCUCUGUUACUUGCAUAAGGAUAACAUCUAAAAUUGAUUAGAGUGCAAAACAACUUGUUUAAUGAAGGACCAGACAGGACAUGGUUUCUUGUUAAAAGAUGUGGUUUCAUGUUGAUGUAUGAUGAUGGAAAGUUGGAAGUUUUGGUUAUGUCCAAAUAAUAGAUAUAAGGCCUGUUUGAUUGGUGGCCCUUUAGGUCAAGCUUUGAAUGCACUAAUCACAUGCUGGUAUGUAGGACCCGGUAAACUGACGUACUUCUAAGGUGUCGAAGUUUGAACCGUGACUCGCCAUGCUCGGCACGGACCGGUGGGUGGGGUCGUGAAAUGGCCUCUGCUGAAAAGAAGGUCGAUACGCGGGUCGAGGAGGACCGGGGCAUUCCCGAAGUAAUGGCUGUGCUUAUCGCAGAACUAUAAUCAGCAAAGAUAACAGUCCCUUUUUCUGGACUUCGUGUUAACAUGUUCCGGUGCAUACUGGGCCAAGUGAUCAAACUCAUUGGUGUAAUCCAGAAUGCUAUGGUCCCUUGCUACAGCCCUAGGAAUUGUUCCAGCUUCAUUCGCAUAAUUCCUUCUGGCACAAACUGUGUUCGGAAGGCUUCCUUGAAGU